CCUACGGGAGGCAGCAGUAGGGAAUAUUGCUCAAUGGGGGAAACCCUGACGCAGCAACGCCGCGUGGAGGAUGAAGGUUUUCGGAUCGUAAACUCCUUUUGUCAGAGAAGAUAAUGACGGUAUCUAACGAAUAAGCACCGGCUAACUCCGUGCCAGCAGCCGCGGUAAUACGGAGGGUGCAAGCGUUACUCGGAAUCACUGGGCGUAAAGAGCGCGUAGGCGGGAUAGCAAGUCAGAUGUGAAAUCCUAUGGCUUAACCAUAGAACUGCAUUUGAAACUGUUAUUCUAGAGUAUGGGAGAGGUAGGUGGAAUUCUUGGUGUAGGGGUAAAAUCCGUAGAGAUCAAGAGGAAUACUCAUUGCGAAGGCGACCUGCUAGAACAUAACUGACGCUGAUGCGCGAAAGCGUGGGGAGCAAACAGGAUUAGAUACCCCAGUAGUC
rnacentral:rRNA from 1 species